rnacentral:rRNA from 1 species
GACGAACGCUGGCGGCGUGCCUAAUACAUGCAAGUAGAACGCUGAAGAGAGGAGCUUACUCUUCUUGGAUGAGUUGCGAACGGGUGAGUAACGCGUAGGUAACCUGCCUUGUAGCGGGGGAUAACUAUUGGAAACGAUAGCUAAUACCGCAUAACAAUGGAUGACACAUGUCAUUUAUUUGAAAGGGGCAAUUGCUCCACUACAAGAUGGACCUGCGUUGUAUUAGCUAGUAGGUGAGGUAAUGGCUCACCUAGGCGACGAUACAUAGCCGACCUGAGAGGGUGAUCGGCCACACUGGGACUGAGACACGGCCCAGACUCCUACGGGAGGGAGCAGUAGGGAAUCUUCGGCAAUGGGGGCAACCCUGACCGAGCAACGCCGCGUGAGUGAAGAAGGUUUUCGGAUCGUAAAGCUCUGUUGUAAGUCAAGAACGGGUGUGAGAGUGGAAAGUUCACACUGUGACGGUAGCUUACCAGAAAGGGACGGCUAACUACGUG